ACUCAAAGGAAUUGACGGGGGCUCACACAAGCGGUGGAGCAUGUGGCUCAAUUCGAAGCAACGCGAAGAACCUUACCUAGGCUUGACAUGCACGGAUUAACUCCUUGAAAGAGGAGCCACGCCCUUUGGGUGGAACGUGCACAGGUGCUGCAUGGCUGUCGUCAGCUCGUGCUGUGAAGUGUCGGGUUAAGUCCCUCAACGAGCGAAACCCCUGUCGUUAGUUGCUAACGGGUAAUGCCGAGGACUCUAACGAGACUGCCGGUGUCAAACCGGAGGAAGGUGGGGAUGACGUCAAGUCCUCAUGGCCUUUAUGCCUAGGGCUGCACACGUGCUACAAUGGCGCUGACAGAACGAUGCAAGACUGCAAAGUGGAGCAAAACGCUCAAAAAGCGCCCCAGUUCGGAUUGGAGGCUGCAAUUCGCCUCCAUGAAGUUGGAAUCGCUAGUAAUCGCGGAUCAGCUACGCCGCGGUGAAUAAGUUCCUGAGCCUUGCACACACCGCCCGU
rnacentral:rRNA from 1 species